AUUGAACGCUGGCGGCAUGCCUUACACAUGCAAGUCGAACGGUAACAGGUCUUCGGAUGCUGACGAGUGGCGAACGGGUGAGUAAUACAUCGGAACGUGCCCGAGAGUGGGGGAUAACGAGGCGAAAGCUUUGCUAAUACCGCAUACGAUCUCAGGAUGAAAGCAGGGGACCGCAAGGCCUUGCGCUCACGGAGCGGCCGAUGGCAGAUUAGGUAGUUGGUGGGAUAAAAGCUUACCAAGCCGACGAUCUGUAGCUGGUCUGAGAGGACGACCAGCCAAACUGGGACUGAGACACGGCCCCGACUCCUACAGGAGGCAGCAGUGGGGAAUUGUGGACAAUGGGCGCAAGCCUGAACCAGCCAUGCCGCGUGCAGGAUGAAGGCCUUCGGGUUGUAAACUGCUUUUGUACGGAACGAAAAGACUCCUUCUAAUAAAGGGGGUCCAUGACGGUACCGUAAGAAUAAGCACCGGCUAACUACGUGCCAGCCGCCGCCGUAAAAC
rnacentral:rRNA from 1 species